rnacentral:tRNA from 1 species
UCCCUGGUGGCUUAGACAGUAAAGAAUCUGCCUGCAGUGCAGGAGACCUGGGUUUGAUUCCUGGGUUGGGAA